rnacentral:hammerhead_ribozyme from 1 species
AUCCAGCUGACGAGUCUCAAAUAGGACGAAGUGACCCGCUUCCUAGAU